AUCUUGCUAGAUAAGAUUAAUUAAGAUAGUGAGAUAUAAUUGAUUAGAGAAUUGUUACAAUGUUAGGAUUGGUUAGUUAAAUUUCAGUAAAAUGAUAGGAUAAAGUAUAGUGGAGAAUAUUACUGUAUG